GAUGAACGCUGGCGGCGUGCUUAACACAUGCAAGUCGAACGAAGCACUCUAUUUGAUUUUCUUCGGAAAUGAAGAUUUUGUGACUGAGUGGCGGACGGGUGAGUAACGCGUGGGUAACCUGCCUCAUACAGGGGGAUAACAGUUGGAAACGACUGCUAAUAACGCAUAAGCGCACAGGAUUGCAUGAUCCGGUGUGAAAAACUCCGGUGGUAUGAGAUGGACCCGCGUCUGAUUAGCCAGUUGGCAGGGUAACGGCCUACCAAAGCGACGAUCAGUAACCGACCUGAGAGGGUGACCGGCCACAUUGGGACUGAGACACGGCCCAAACUCCUACGGGAGGCAGCAGUGGGGAAUAUUGCACAAUGGGGGAAACCCUGAUGCAGCGACGCCGCGUGAGCGAAGAAGUAUUUCGGUAUGUAAAGCUCUAUCAGCAGGGAAGAAGAAUGACGGUACCUGACUAAGAAGCACCGGCUAAAUACGUGCCAGCAGCCGCCGUAA
rnacentral:rRNA from 1 species